GAUGCAUGACUUCUUUGCCACCCAUGUCUUGAUUAGACAAGUUCACCAGAGAAGACAUCACAGAUUGGGUUCUGAGUAUCUGCUUUCUGCCACAUGAGAGACUGGUUCCUUCUCAUCUUUUUCAUCACUUGGUUUCAUUUGGUAUAUCUCUUGGGAGCUGGCAUUCAGAUGAUCCUGUCUCUUCCUUCACCAAUAAACAACACCCUACAGAUUGCCCAGGUCACAUUUGUCCAUGGGGACCUUAACUUCUUUUCAUCUGUGAGGAUGAAGUGGACCUUCAAGGUCUCUUCCACCUGGGUCCUCACUCCCUUCUCCAUAUCUGUCUAGGUCUGCCCACAUCUUGCAUUCCCACUUACUAUAAUCUGUUCAACUAUUUUGUAUUGUUUUGUUUCUUUUCUUUACUUUCUGUUAGCCCA
rnacentral:lncRNA from 1 species